CUUUGAUUGGGCGAUGACGUUGCGGUCGAUUGCAGAAAAAGAAAACUUGGUUGUUUGACGGAGAACCGUAUAUGCGCGCGGAUCGUAUGAAAAAGAGGCUUGGCCUCGUCCGCCCGUUCCUUUUGUUGAUUGUGUGUGGUGUCCUCAUGUGUGGUGCGAAAGGUGUGGUGUAAAAGAUGAUGUGUUGAGUGUGGGACGUAGUGUGGGAUGACCGGAAAUGAUCCGCAUGAUGCCAAUGUGUUGAGUAUAGGAUGUGCAGUGUGGGGUGAAGAUGUGUUGAUUAUGGUGUGUAUGUGUGGGGUGUAGUUAUAUUAUAUUUAGAGGGGGGUCAGGUGCUCAUUUAGCCACGCAGGCUUCUGGCGCGAAGUGCACAAAAAUUAAUCCACUAUUUUAGUACUGUUUUAUCCUAAGGGAAAUGGAAAAAUCUCCAUUUCGUCGCACUACUUUUAACAUUGUUAUUAUUGCAUCCGAACACUGCACAAUUCAUUUUAAAAAAUAUAAAAUUUCACAAUUAAUACUACACGCGAAAAUACAAUUCGAAUUCACAUUCAAAGGCGCGGGCGAAUAAUAAGUCAACCGUCACGCCAGCAAGAAGCUGACUGAAAACAAACAUGCGCGUUGCGUAAUCUCUUUCUCUAUCAUUCUUGGGACCAACAUGAAGACGUCUUGAAAACACCAUUGUGGGUUGUGAAAUCUAAGUCUUUCGGAUCGACAAUGUGUGUUUUCGAUGAGUUUUCACUGACAACUCACAAAUUUAUUUGUUUGUUUACAUUUUGAGCAACGAGAAUGGUGCUACCGCUUUCAACAUGAUUAUGACGUUUGAAUAAGGCAAUGUCGAAUGAGCAUUUGGUACACAACUGUCGUUAAUGCUACUUUAUAUUUAGUAGCAAAGUCCAGCACACUCAAUGUUGUUAAAUUCGCCCGCGACUUUAAUGAAUACAUAUACAUUGGCAAAUCGUUCACUUUUUACAUUUAUUCCGUCAACGGACUCAUCGCAAUGCCUUGACUAUUUAUGCCAUUCAUACCUAUUAAUGUCUUAAAAGCCUCCGCGUUGAUGAACUAAAAGCAAACACUUGAAAAAUC